GUGUUCCACGCUGUCGGUUCGCCGCCCGUCGGUGUCAACUGGCAUGUCCUGUGGAACGUCCUGCCGGUGGCGGUCCGGGCUUUCGGCUUGCGUAAGGGCUCACGCCCGAAGCAGGCCGAACAGUACCGGCCGCCGGUCCAAUCCCGCCACGGUGCUCUUCACCGAGUGUCGAGGUGGGCCGGCACGUUUACUUUGAACAAAUUAGAGUGCUUAAAGCAGGCUGGUGUCCGCCUGAAUACUGUGUGCAUGGAAUAAUAGAAUAGGACCUCGGUUCUAUUUUGUUGGUUUUCGGAACCCGAGGUAAUGAUUAAUAGGGACAGGCGGGGGCAUUCGUAUUGCGACGUUAGAGGUGAAAUUCUUGGAUCGUCGCAAGACGAACCUAAGCGAAAGCAUUUGCCAAGUAUGUUCUCGUUAAUCAAGAACGAAAGUUAGAGGUUCGAAGGCGAUCAGAUACCGCCCUAGUUCUAACCAUAAACGAUGCCAGCCAGCGAUCCGCCGAAGUUCCUCCGAUGACUCGGCGGGCAGCUUCCGGGAAACCAAAGCUUUUGGGUUCCGGGGGAAGUAUGGUUGCAAAGCUGAAACUUAAAGGAAUUGACGGAAGGGCACCACCAGGAGUGGAGCCUGCGGCUUAAUUUGACUCAACACGGGAAACCUCACCAGGCCCGGACACCGGAAGGAUUGACAGAUUGAGAGCUCUUUCUUGAUUCGGUGGGUGGUGGUGCAUGGCCGUUCUUAGUUGGUGGAGCGAUUUGUCUGGUUAAUUCCGAUAACGAACGAGACUCUAGCCUGCUAACUAGGCGAUUCCGGUACCCACAAUAGUGUUACCGGCGAUUCAAUUUCUUCUUAGAGGGACAGGCGGCUCCUAGCCGCACGAGACUGAGCAAUAACAGGUCUGUGAUGCCCUUAGAUGUCCUGGGCCGCACGCGCGCUACACUGAAGGAAUCAGCGUGUCUUCCCUGGCCGACAGGCCCGGGUAACCCGUUGAACCUCCUUCGUGCUAGGGAUUGGGGCUUGCAAUUGUUCCCCAUGAACGAGGAAUUCCCAGUAAGCGCGAGUCAUAAGCUCGCGUUGAUUACGUCCCUGCCCUUUGUACACACCGCCCGUCGCUACUACCGAUUGAAUGAUUUAGUGAGGUCUUCGGACUGGUGCGCGGCGGUCGGCUUAUACUGCCGGCCGCCGAUGUUGCCGGAAAGAUGACCAAACUUGAUCAUUUAGAGGAAGUAAAAGU
rnacentral:rRNA from 2 species